rnacentral:lncRNA from 1 species
GAGAUAAUAUACAAAUAAAUUGAUUAUAGCUAUUUAGUUUAUGAUUUUUUUUUCCUAUACCAGGGAUUGAACUCAGGACUUUACGCUUGCAAGGCAGGCAUGGCGCCCACCAAGCCAAAUCUCUAGCCCUAGUUUAUGAUUUUUACCAAGAUGGUAUCCCUGUAAUUUGAGACAACAGGAUGCAGAAUGCAGUAACAACCACAUGAAAAACAGGGGAGAGGGAAGAAUAAAGAGAAAGGAAAAGAAAAGGAGAAGUGGACUAAAAAGGGGCAAAAAUUGUUUAUGCCAUACUCGUGCACAAAUUGACAAAAUGAAAGCUGUUAAUCUGUGUGACUGCUAUUGAAUAAAAAGAAGGAA